rnacentral:rRNA from 1 species
UACGGAGGAUCCGAGCGUUAUCCGGAUUUAUUGGGUUUAAAGGGUGCGCAGGCGGGAGAUUAAGUCGGCGGUGAAAUUUUGCAGCUCAACUGUAAAAGUGCCUUCGAAACUGGUUUCCUUGAGUGUAGAUGAAGUAGGCGGAAUUUGUGGUGUAGCGGUGAAAUGCAUAGAUAUCACGAGGAACUCCGAUUGCGCAGGCAGCUUACUAAACUACUACUGACGCUCAGGCGCGAAGGCGUGGGGAGUCAAACAGGAUUAGAUACCCGCGUAGU